AAGAGCUCAAAUUUGAAAUCUGGCCCCCUCGGGGCCCGAGUUGUAAUUUGCAGAGGAUGCUUCGGGUUCGGCCCCGGUCUAAGUCCCCUGGAACGGGGCGUCACGGAGGGUGAGAAUCCCGUCUGGGAUCGACGGCCGGACCCGUGUGAAGCUCCUUCGACGAGUCGAGUUGUUUGGGAAUGCAGCUCCAAAUGGGUGGUAAAUUUCAUCUAAAGCUAAAUACUGGUCGGAGACCGAUAGCGCACAAGUAGAGUGAUCGAAAGAUGAAAAGCACUUUGAAAAGAGAGUUAAACAGCAUGUGAAAUUGUUGAAAGGGAAGCGCUUGCGACCAGACUCGCCCGCGGGGGCUCAGCCGGCAUUCUUGCCGGUGCACUCCCCCGCGGUCGGGCCAGCGUCGGUUUGGGCGGUCGGUCAAAGGUCCCCGGAAUGUGUCGCCCCUCGGGGCGUCUUAUAGCCGGGGGCGCAAUGCGGCCUGCCCGGACCGAGGAACGCGCUUCGGCACGGACGCUGGCGUAAUGGUCGUAAGCGGCCCGUCUUGAAACACGGACCAAGGAGUCUAACAUCUACGCGAGUGUUCGGGUGUCAAACCCGUCCGCGCAGUGAAAGCGAACGGAGGUGGGAGCCCUGAAGGGUGCACCAUCGACCGAUCCGGAAGUCUUCGGAUGGAUUUGAGUAGGAGCGUAGCUGUUGGGACCCGAAAGAUGGUGAACUAUGCCUGAAUAGGGUGAAGCCAGAGGAAACUCUGGUGGAGGCUCGCAGCGGUUCUGACGUGCAAAUCGAUCGUCGAAU
rnacentral:rRNA from 1 species